rnacentral:rRNA from 1 species
UACGGAGGGUGCGAGCGUUGUCCGGAAUCAUUGGGCGUAAAGGGCGCGUAGGUGGCCUGCUAAGCGUGCGGUGAAAGCUCGGGGCUCAACCCCGAGUCGGCCGUGCGAACUGGUGGGCUUGAGCACUGUAGAGGCAGGCGGAAUUCCGGGUGUAGCGGUGGAGUGCGUAGAGAUCCGGAAGAACACCGGUGGCGAAGGCAGCUCUCUGGGACGGUACUGACGCUGAGACGCGAAAGCGUGGGGAGCGAACAGG